GACGAACGCUGGCGGCGCGCUUAACACAUGCAAGUCGAACGGAAAGGCCUGCUUUCCCUUGUGGAUUGCGGGUACUCGAGUGGCGAACGGGUGAGUAACACGUGAGUGAUCUGCCCCCAACUUGGGUAUAAGCCUGGGAAACUGGAUCUAAUUCCCGAUAGGACUGCAGGGUGGUGCCUGUGGUGGAAAACGUUUUUCGAGUGGGUGGGGCUGAGCUCGGGGCCUAUCAGCUUGUUGGUGGGGUAAUGGCCUACCAAGGCGGCGACGGGUAGCCGGCCGGAGAGGGUGACCGGGCACACUGGGAAUGAGACAAGGCCCAGACGCCUAGGGGAGGGAGCAGGGGGGAAGAUUGGACAAGGGGCGCAAGCCUGAUGCAGCGAUGACGCGUGAGGGAUGACGGCCUGCGGGUGGUAAACCGCUUUCAGUAGGGAAGAAGCGAAAGUGACGGUACCGGCAGAAGAAGCACCGGCUAACUACGUG
rnacentral:rRNA from 1 species